UACAGAGGGUGCGAGCGUUGUCCGGAAUCACUGGGCGUAAAGGGCGCGUAGGUGGCCUGGUAAGUAGGGGGUGAAAUCUCGCGGCUCAACUGCGAGGCUGCCUCCUAAACUGUCAGGCUCGAGCAGAGUAGAGGCAGGUGGAAUUCCCGGUGUAGCGGUGAAAUGCGUAGAGAUGUGGAGGAACACCGGAUGGCGGAAGGCAGCCCCCUGGGUCAAGAUUGACGCUCGAUGCACGAAAGCGUGGGGAGCAAACAGG
rnacentral:rRNA from 1 species